rnacentral:rRNA from 1 species
GAUGAACGCUGGCGGCGUGCCUAAUACAUGCAAGUCGAGCGAACAGACGAGGAGCUUGCUCCUCUGACGUUAGCGGCGGACGGGUGAGUAGCACGUGGAUAACCUACCUAUAAGACUGGGAUAACUUCGGGAAACCGGAGCUAAUACCGGAUAAUAUAUUGAACCGCAUGGUUCAAUAGUGAAAGACGGUUUUGCUUUCACUUAUAGAUGGAUCCGCGCCGCAUUAGCUAGUUGGUAAGGUAACGGCUUACCAAGGCGACGAUGCGUAGCCGACCUGAGAGGGUGAUCGGCCACACUGGAACUGAGACACGGUCCAGACUCCUACGGGAGGCAGCAGUAGGGAAUCUUCCGCAAUGGGCGAAAGCCUGACGGAGCAACGCCGCGUGAGUGAUGAAGGUCUUCGGAUCGUAAAACUCUGUUAUUAGGGAAGAACAAAUGUGUAAGUAACUAUGCACGUCUUGACGGUACCUAAUCAGAAAGCCACGGCUAACUACGCG